UACGUAGGGGGCUAGCGUUGUCCGGAUUUAUUGGGCGUAAAGAGCGUGUAGGCGGCCAGGUAGGUCUGCUGUGAAAACUCGAGGCUUAACCUCGAGAUGUCGGCGGAAACCAUCUGGCUAGAGUCCGGAAGAGGAGAGUGGAAUUCCUGGUGUAGCGGUGAAAUGCGCAGAUAUCAGGAAGAACACCCGUGGCGAAGGCGGCUCUCUGGGACGGUACUGACGCUAAGGCGCGAAAGCGUGGGGAGCGAACAGG
rnacentral:rRNA from 1 species